rnacentral:rRNA from 1 species
UACGAAGGGGGCUAGCGUUGCUCGGAAUUACUGGGCGUAAAGCGCACGUAGGCGGCUUUCUAAGUCGGGGGUGAAAUCCUGGAGCUCAACUCCAGAACUGCCUUCGAUACUGGAAAGCUCGAGUCCGGGAGAGGUGAGUGGAACUGCGAGUGUAGAGGUGAAAUUCGUAGAUAUUCGGAAGAACACCAGUGGCGAAGGCGGCUCACUGGCCGUUACCGACGCCUCGAGGCGCG